rfam:Gemmatimonadetes bacterium 13_1_40CM_3_69_22 13_1_40cm_3_scaffold_7253, whole genome shotgun sequence.
UCCCGGCGACAGGGGUGCUCGCCCGACUGCGGCGAGCUGAGACCACACCCUUUGAACCUGAUCCGGCUAGUACCGGCGAAGGGAGUCGACAUGGACUGCGU